rnacentral:rRNA from 1 species
AACGAACGCUGGCGGCAGGCCUAACACAUGCAAGUCGAACGCUCUAGCAAUAGAGAGUGGCAGACGGGUGAGUAACGCGUGGGAACCUUCCCAGUGGUGCGGAAUAGCUCAGGGAAACUUGGGGUAAUACCGCAUGAGCCCGAAAGGGAAAGGAUUUAUCGCCAUUGGAUGGGCCCGCGUAGGAUUAGCUAGUUGGUGAGGUAAUGGCUCACCAAGGCAACGAUCCUUAGCUGGUUUGAGAGAAUGACCAGCCACACUGGGACUGAGACACGGCCCAGACUCCUACGGGAGGCAGCAGUGGGGAAUAUUGGACAAUGGGCGCAAGCCUGAUCCAGCCAUGCCGCGUGAGUGACGAAGGCCUUAGGGUUGUAAAGCUCUUUUGGCGGGGACGAUAAUGACGGUACCCGCAGAAUAAGCCCGGCUAACUUCGUGCCAGCAGCCGCGGUAAACGUAGCGUG